GCGAGUGAAGCGGUAACAGCUCAAAUUUGAAAUCUGGCCUCACGGUCCGAGUUGUAAUUUGUAGAGGAUGCUUCGAGCAUGGUCUGGCCUAAGUUCCUUGGAACAGGACGUCAUAGAGGGUGAGAAUCCCGUAUGCGGCCAGGUGCCUACGCUCAUGUGAAGCUCCUUCGACGAGUCGAGUUGUUUGGGAAUGCAGCUCAAAAUGGGUGGUAAAUUUCAUCUAAAGCUAAAUAUUGGCCAGAGACCGAUAGCGCACAAGUAGAGUGAUCGAAAGAUGAAAAGCACUUUGGAAAGAGAGUUAAACAGUACGUGAAAUUGUUGAAAGGGAAGCGCUUGCAACCAGACUUGCGCGCGGCCGAUCAUCCGGUGUUCUCACCGGUGCACUCGGCCGUGCUCAGGCCAGCAUCGGUUUUGGCGGCUGGAUAAAGGCCCUAGGAAUGUAGCUCCUCUCGGGGAGUGUUAUAGCCUAGGGUGCAAUGCAGCCUGCUGGGACCGAGGACCGCGCUUCGGCUAGGA
rnacentral:rRNA from 1 species